CUGACGAGUCCCAAACAGGACGAAACGCGUGUC
rnacentral:hammerhead_ribozyme from 1 species